rnacentral:rRNA from 1 species
AACGAACGCUGGCGGCAUGCCUAACACAUGCAAGUCGAACGAGACCUUCGGGUCUAUUGGCUCUCGGGUGCGUAACGCGGGGGAACCGGGCCUUAUGUUCGGAAUAACUCCCCGGAAGGGGUUCUAAUAUCGGAAAAGUUCUUCGGACCAAAGAUUGAUCGCCUUUGUAUGGGGCCGCGUUGGAUUAGCUUGGUGGUAGGGUAAAAGCCUACCAAGGCGACGAGCCGCAGAUGGGCUGAGAGGAUGAUCAGCCACACUGUGACUGAGAAACGGCCCAGACUCCUACGCGAGGCAGGCGUGGGUAAUGUUGGACAGUGGCGGAAAGCAUGAUCCAGCACUGCCGCGUGAGUGAUGAAGGCCUUAGGGUUGUAAAGAUAUUUUACCCGGGAUCAUAAUGACAGUACCGGGAGAAUAAGCUCCGGCUAACUCCGUG